UGCAAGUCGGACGUGAUCCAGGAGCUUGCUCCUGGUGAAAGUGGCGCACGGGUGCGUAACGCGUAUGCAACCUACCUUAAUCAGGGGGAUAGCCUCUCGAAAGAGAGAUUAACACCGCAUGAAAUGCUUUUCCGGCAUCGGAAGAACAUGAAAUAUUUAUAGGAUUAAGAUGGGCAUGCGUGACAUUAGUUAGUUGGCGGGGUAACGGCCCACCAAGACGACGAUGUCUCGGGGAUCUGAGAGGAUGACCCCCCACACCGGUACUGAGACACGGACCAGACUCCUACGGGAGGCAGCAGUAAGGAAUAUUGGUCAAUGGGCGCAAGCCUGAACCAGCCAUGCCGCGUGCAGGAAGACGGUGCUCUGCAUUGUAAACUGCUUUUAUACCAGAAUAACCCCCCGGUCGUGUAUCGGGGCUGAAUGUAUGGUAAGAAUAAGGAUCGGCUAACUCCGUGCCAGCAGCCGCGGUAAUACGGAGGAUCCAAGCGUUAUCCGGAUUUAUUGGGUUUAAAGGGUGCGUAGGCGGCUUUUUAAGCCAGGGGUGAAAGACGGUGGCUCAACCAUCGCGGUGCCCUUGGUACUGAAGAGCUUGAUUGAACUUGAGGUAGGCGGAAUGUGACAAGUAGCGGUGAAAUGCAUAGAUAUGUCACAGAACACCGAUUGCGAAGGCAGCUUACUAAGGUUUUAAUGACGCUGAGGCACGAAAGCGUGGGGAUCAAACAGGAUUAGAUACCCUGGUAGUCCACGCCCUAAACGAUGAAUACUCGAUGUUAGCGAUAUACAGUUAGCGUCAAAGCGAAAGCGUUAAGUAUUCCACCUGGGGAGUACGCCCGCAAGGGUGAAACUCAAAGGAAUUGACGGGGGCCCGCACAAGCGGAGGAGCAUGUGGUUUAAUUCGAUGAUACGCGAGGAACCUUACUCGGGCUUGAAAGU
rnacentral:rRNA from 1 species